rnacentral:misc_RNA from 1 species
GGUCGUAUGGUGUAGCGGU